rnacentral:rRNA from 1 species
AAGACCUUGCGCUUUUGGAGCGGCCGAUGCCUGAUUAGCUUGUUGGUAAGGUAAAAGCUUACCAAGGCUUCGAUCAGUAGCUGGUCUGAGAGGACGACCAGCCACACUGGGACUGAGACACGGCCCAGACUCCUACGGGAGGCAGCAGUGGGGAAUUUUGGACAAUGGGCGCAAGCCUGAUCCAGCCAUGCCGCGUGAGUGAAGAAGGCCUUCGGGUUGUAAAGCUCUUUCAGCCGGGAAGAAAAGGCUGCGACGAAUAAUCGUAGCUCAUGACGGUACCGGAAGAAGAAGCACCGGCUAACUACGUGCCAGCAGCCGCGGUAAUACGUAGGGUGCGAGCGUUAAUCGGAAUUACUGGGCGUAAAGCGUGCGCAGGUGGUUUUGUAAGUCAGAUGUGAAAUCCCCGGGCUUAACCUGGGAACU